rnacentral:rRNA from 1 species
UACGUAGGGUGCGAGCGUUGUCCGGAAUUAUUGGGCGUAAAGAGCUCGUAGGCGGUGUGUCACGUCGGCCGUGAAAACCUGCAGCUUAACUGUGGGCGUGCGGGCGAUACGGGCAGACUAGAGUACUGCAGGGGAGACUGGAAUUCCUGGUGUAGCGGUGAAAUGCGCAGAUAUCAGGAGGAACACCGGUGGCGAAGGCGGGUCUCUGGGCCGAUACUGACGCUGGAGGAGCGAAAGCCGUGGGGGAGCGAACAGG